GCGUGUUUCAAUUGGCUGGAAGAACAAGGUUGGUAAGCCAGCCUUUUAAGCUCACCAAGUUGCUGCUUUUUCACCAACACAGUUACUACUAGCAGUGACAUCUGCCAUUGCUGGGGCACUUUGUUUUAAACUACUUGACCUGCAUUACCUUAUUUGAUUUCCACAAAAGCCCUGAGGUCUUUCUGCUGAUGUUCUCCUUUGCAGGAAGUUGCUGUGUUUAACGUGGCGGCCUACAGAGGAGGAGGCUGUACCUCAUGGUCCGGGGAGACGGUGCUCUCAAAAGUUCCAGGCAAGCUACCAACUUUCCCUGCCGGAAGGCGUGUGGUACACUGUGGCUCUGCCAUAUUCCAGUCAGGCAGCUGCUGUGACCCUGAACUGUCCCUGGUCCCUCUGCCCUGUUUCUUCCCUGAGAAUUGUGGGUUUUAAACUAGAUCCUGGCGUGUUACAGCCAGAAGUGACUUUAAGGCUCACUCAGCCCAAAGCCCAGGAGAUCACAUGACUUGCCCAAGGUCACGCUGAGGGUCGGUGACGAGGCUGGGACUGGACCCCCAGCCUCCUGGUUCCCAUUGCCCUGGGGGUCUUCGUGUCCUCAACACACAAGGCACCUUUUCAAAGGAACUCAUACGCACACCUCUGGAAAUGCAAGCAUCACCCUUUCCUAAGGGUCCCCACCUCUGCACUGGAGACAUCGUGCUUUCUAAGAAUGAGGCAGUUUUGUUUUAAGUACUGACUCUGGAGAGUGUGGGGGGUUUUUGUCCCCUCUCUGUAUCUGUUCCCCCCUAAAUCAGCCUGGCCAAGCUAAUAGGAAACCUCGGCUUAUAACGCCCUGUGCCCCUCCUGCCCCAUGGAGCUCCAGGACAGUUCACCCCAGAGAGAUGUGGGCUGUCUUCAGCUCCCAGGGCCUGGCUGUGCACCUCCUGCUGCAGAUGGUCUCAUCCCUAGCAGGGCUGCACCCAGGAGGAAGAGGGGGAGCUGUGCCCCAGGGUUCUCUCAUCCUGAACAGCUCUGUUUGGAUGGCGGAAGAGCCAUCGUGAGAGUGCCACAAUCUCUUCUGGCUGGUAUUUCUUAAACAUCUUCACAUCUGUCCAGUUCCCCGCUCCCCAGCCUGGAAACCUGGAAUCCUGCUGAGUGGUGUCUGGUCCCCACUUCUCCCCACGCCAGUCCGCAGCCACAGGACUCUUGCUAGCCAUGCUCCUCUCCUGCUAACGGCCCAUCCAUAGCAUCAGCCGCAAACCUGAAGGCUCCCCACACUCGGUGGGGUCUUUGCUCCUCCUUCCGCCUUGCACCCGGCUGCUCCGUCUCACAGAAAAGGGAUGGAACAAAUUUGGAGCACCUACUUUGGGCCAGGACUCAUUUAAGCUUCAAGAAACCUAGGAAGGAGGCAACUUCCCGCCAUCUUAUAGGUGGAGAGACUGAGGGUAAGCAGUUUGGGCUGGACGCAGAUGGACGCCCUUCUGAUGAUCUCAGCGAGACACUACCCACUCAUGGUCAGCUAGGAAUCAAGUGGAGGCUGACUGGUCUCACCCACCUGUCUGGUAGUUGAUGGCUACGGGCAACACGAAUGGCUGAGCCAUGUGCUCUCAUGAACCCAGCUUCCCAGGGCAGCAAGAGAGCCAGCCCCAAUGUGUGAACACUUUUUAAAGCCUUUGGUGGCUUGUUUGCUAAUGUCCCAGGAGCCACGUAAGACAUAAGGCCAGUGCAGAGCCAGUGUGGGAGGGGACUAUCCAAGGGGCAGAUAGAGGAAGUUAAACAAAUUAUGGCCGUUUUUGUAAUCUGCAACAAGAACUCCGUUCAAGGAACACACUAAAUGCAUGGCAGAGCUUCCUCUUUGAUCUUCUGAGCUGACAGGCAUGUGGUGAGCACAGCCUCAUGUGUCCCUAAUGUGUUCCAGACACACUUAGCACUUCCCACACAGCCAUGUAAACUGCCCGGUCCUCACCGAACUUUCUACUCCGACUGAUCUUGAGAGGCACGUGUCUCAGGAUUUAAAUAAAAAUGAACAAAUAAAUGUAUUUAUAAA
rnacentral:lncRNA from 10 species